UGGUCCACACUUGAGACACUGAGUCAGGAUAUCUUUGCCUCAGCUGCUUUUUGCCUGUUUUUUUUUAAAUCAUCUGUUUCUUGUGAGUGCAAUACCACAUGACUGGAGUACCCCUUGAAGCUUAACUACUGUUAUAAAGGCCACACCACUUGGACUAUUCCAACUUCCCUCUAAGAGUGGUAUGUUCCGUCGCCCCAGUAGUUAAUGAAGGCCACAAGAGUUUUUUCUGAGUUCUAGUAGUUAGGCCAAUUAAUCCCUGAAUAGGUGUCACUGCCUUUGUGCGACUGUUGCGUGCGUCCAUUGAACUGCAGAGACAUCAAAACCGCGAGGGGCAGACAAUCACAGUGGCGGGAAAACGCACAAAGGGUGGAAGUGAAGUGACCUGAAAUGAGAGGAGAGGUAAGUAACACAAAAUAAAGAAAUACUGACAAAUGACAAAACAAGAAAGCAUAACUUGGAGGAGACAAGACAAACACAGGUGCUGCACAGAAAAAAAAGGGAGACCACAAAGACAGGAAGUCAAACAAACACAGGACACAAGAGGCAGGCAACUUCAAAAUAAAACAGGAAACAAACUAAACCAAAACCAAGAUCAUGACAAAUAUGUUGCAGACAUGUAGCUCCAUGUAUUGUACUGCUCUAUAUGACCUCCUGAGUGUGAGAGGCCUUGGAUCAUAUUUUGUUUUGAAAAUGCACAAAGAAUCCAUACAAGUACAAUCCUGAAAUUGAAUGUAAAAUGGAUCUUUUUUUUUUUUUUUUUGCAUCUUCAUUUUGGCAGAAACUGUACACCUUGAAAAUGCAACCUGAGCAUUUGAAUUUGAGAUUUCAUGAGGUCUGCUCAUAUGAAAUGAAAAGGACAAAUGGCAGUUUGCAUUUUCAUUUAGACUAUGAAAACACAUAGUUUCUCUCAAGUGUGUUUUGUGUCACCCAUCAUUAGUUGAGAACAUAUAACUACUGAAAUGCACCAGUUUUGGCUGGUUUAUCUAAAGCAGGAGUCCAAACAGCUGCACUCAUGAGCCACAUCACAACACGAGCAGACACGCCUAAUUCCAUGAGAGCACAUAAUUGCUAUCAGGGGUUUUCACCCACAACCCCUUAUAAGUCUGGCUUGUGUCUGGUUGUGAAAACUCUAAUCAUGUCUUUCCAAUGAGUCACUGAUGACAGGCCAUAGUCUUACUCUUUGUAGAGUUACAGUGACCUUAUACCCCUCAAGUCUAAUUACUUCCUCUUUGAGUCCAAGUGGACAUUUGUGCCAAAUUUGAAGAAAUGUAUUAUCGAGAGUGAAAGUAACUUGGACAGAGAAUGUGAAAAAUCCUAUUUUUAGAUUUGUUUGUAUUCCAGAACAGA